CGCCCCUCGCCACCGCUCGGCUUCUCCGUGCCCCUGGCCCGACCCGCGCCCCGCACCCGCUGGCGAUGAGCAGUCUCAACAGCACGUUGCCGCCCGACCAAGAAAUGGUCGACUCUGACCACAUUUUCAUGACGUUGGGUGUGAACAUCGCCAUCAUUGCAGGUGAGCUGUCCUGGGCCUCCAAGCAGGAGAAUCAGAGGGAGUGCCCAGGGGAGAAUCCACCCAAGGCUUCAGAGCAAAUGGCUGAAUGAGGGUGAGGUUGCAUGAGGAGCCACGCCUAAGCCCAUCUAAAACUCACUGGUGUCCCCUCACCCCAUCACUCCCAGGCCCUGAGUGACCUGGCCCCUACCACCCAGCCUCCCAGCUUCACCUCCCAACCGCUCCUGAGUCCAAACAGAAAUGAGGGGCUGACUGCUGUUCACACUCCACGCCUUUACUGGGUGUCCUGCAGAACCCCCUCCCUCUCCAGUCCUCUGCUUGGCUGCCCCUGCUCCUCUGGCAAACCCAUGCAGCCUUCACCUCCAGAGAGCAUGCCAGAGCUAAGGUAGGGUGAUGAACAGUGAACCACACUCCCCCCAACCUGUCCCAAGUGCUUCCCAUGGCCCUGUCUUGUUCCUCCUAAGAGUGCACAAGGCAGGGCGGCCACCAGGGCCCAGCCUUCGGGGCACUUUCCUAGAUUUAGUACCAAGUCUCACACCCUGGGGAACUUCUCAGUUGAGAUCAUUCUGGAUUUAAAACUGCAAGUCCUGAGGCCAUGAACCUCUCAGUUUUAGGUAAACUCAUGUAGUUGAUUCUGCAGGGUAUGCACAAAAGUCUGUCUUCCUCAGUGGACUGAGUGGCCCUGAGCAAGGGUCAGUGCUGGAAUCCUAUCCCAGCCUCAGUCUGCGCCAGUCUGAGUGGAAGGAGGGGGAAAGAGGAAGGGAGGUCGGAGUAACUCAGAUGGGUGUGGAUAAGGGUGAGCACAUGCCAGGCAGGAAGGAGAAGGGCAGGAAUGAGCCAGCCUGUCUGGGGUUGGUGCUGACUGUAGCAGUGUCUGUCCUGGCACAAGCCCUAUGAGUCCUGACCCCAGUCCCAGGCGCCUGCCCCAGACAGAGCCAUGCAUUUGUUCCCUCUGCAGGCGUGAUCGCCGCGAUAGCCAUCAUCCUGAUCUGCCUGCUUGUCAUCACUCUACGCUACUUGUACGGGCA
rnacentral:lncRNA from 1 species